rnacentral:rRNA from 2 species
CUGGCUCAGAUUGAACGCUGGUGGCGUGCUUAACACAUGCAAGUCGAGCGAGAAAGCUUCUUCGGAAGUGAGUAGAGCGGCGCACGGGUGAGUAACGCGUGGAUAAUCUACCUAGAAGACUGGGAUAACAGUUGGAAACGACUGCUAAUACCGUAUACGCUGGAAACGGGAAAGGGGGCCUCUUCUUGAAAGCUCUCGCCAGUAGAUGAGUCCGCGUUUCAUUAGCUAGACGGUGGGGUAACGGCCUACCGUGGCAACGAUGAAUAGCAGGCCUGAGAGGGUGGCCUGCCACACUGGGACUGGAACACGGCCCAGACUCCUACGGGAGGCAGCAGUGGGGAAUAUUGCGCAAUGGGGGAAACCCUGACGCAGCGACGCCACGUGAGGGAUGAAGGUUUUCGGAUCGUAAACCUCUGUCAGAAGGGAAGAAACUAGGUUGGUACAAUAUGCCAGUCUACUGACGGUACCUUCAAAGGAAGCACCGGCUAACUCCGUGCCAGCAGCCGCGGUAAUACGGAGGGUGCAAGCGUUAAUCGGAAUCACUGGGCGUAAAGCGCUCGUAGGUGGCUUUGUAAGUCAGGUGUGAAAGCCCACGGCUCAACCGUGGAAUUGCACUUGAAACUGGUAAACUAGAGUCCUGGAGAGGGUAGUAGAAUUCCCGGUGUAGGAGUGAAAUCCGUAGAUAUCGGGAGGAAUACCAGUGGCGAAGGCGACUACCUGGACAGUGACUGACGCUGAGGUACGAAAGUGUGGGGAGCAAACAGGAUUAGAUACCCUGGUAGUCCACGCCGUAAACGAUGGGUACUAAGUGUCGGAGGCUUGACCUUCGGUGCUGUAGUUAACGCGUUAAGUACCCCGCCUGGGGAGUACGGUCGCAAGGCUGAAACUCAAAGAAAUUGACGGGGGCCCGCACAAGCGGUGGAGUAUGUGGUUUAAUUCGAUGCAACGC